GACGAACGCUGGCGGCGUGCCUAAUACAUGCAAGUCGAACGAACUCUGGUAUUGAUUGGUGCUUGCAUCAUGAUUUGCAUUUGAGUGAGUGGCGAACUGGUGAGUAACACGUGGGAAACCUGCCCAGAAGCGGGGGAUAACACCUGGAAACAGAUGCUAAUACCGCAUAACAACUUGGACCGCAUGGUCCGAGUUUGAAAGAUGGCUUCGGCUAUCACUUUUGGAUGGUCCCGCGGCGUAUUAGCUAGAUGGUGGGGUAACGGCUCACCAUGGCAAUGAUACGUAGCCGACCUGAGAGGGUAAUCGGCCACAUUGGGACUGAGACACGGCCCAAACUCCUACGGGAGGCAGCAGUAGGGAAUCUUCCACAAUGGACGAAAGUCUGAUGGAGCAACGCCGCGUGAGUGAAGAAGGGUUUCGGCUCGUAAAACUCUGUUGUUAAAGAAGAACAUAUCUGAGAGUAACUGUUCAGGUAUUGACGGUAUUUAACCAGAAAGCCACGGCUAACUACGUGCCAGCAGCCGCGGUAAUACGUAGGUGGCAAGCGUUGUCCGGAUUUAUUGGGCGUAAAGCGAGCGCAGGCGGUUUUUUGAGUCUGAUGUGAAAGCCUUCGGCUCAACCGAAGAAGUGCAUCGGAAACUGGGAAACUUGAGUGCAGAAGAGGACAGUGGAACUCCAUGUGUAGCGGUGAAAUGCGUAGAUAUAUGGAAGAACACCAGUGGCGAAGGCGGCUGUCUGGUCUGUAACUGACGCUGAGGCUCGAAAGUAUGGGUAGCAAACAGGAUUAGAUACCCUGGUAGUCCAUACCGUAAACGAUGAAUGCUAAGUGUUGGAGGGUUUCCGCCCUUCAGUGCUGCAGCUAACGCAUUAAGCAUUCCGCCUAGGGAGUACGGCCGCAAGGCUGAAACUCAAAGGAAUUGACGGGGGCCCGCACAAGCGGUGGAGCAUGUGGUUUAAUUCGAAGCUACGCGAAGAACCUUACCAGGUCUUGACAUACUAUGCAAAUCUAAGAGAUUAGACGUUCCCUUCGGGGACAUGGAUACAGGUGGUGCAUGGUUGUCGUCAGCUCGUGUCGUGAGAUGUUGGGUUAAGUCCCGCAACGAGCGCAACCCUUAUUAUCAGUUGCCAGCAUUAAGUUGGGCACUCUGGUGAGACUGCCGGUGACAAACCGGAGGAAGGUGGGGAUGACGUCAAAUCAUCAUGCCCCUUAUGACCUGGGCUACACACGUGCUACAAUGGAUGGUACAACGAGUUGCGAACUCGCGAGAGUAAGCUAAUCUCUUAAAGCCAUUCUCAGUUCGGAUUGUAGGCUGCAACUCGCCUACAUGAAGUCGGAAUCGCUAGUAAUCGCGGAUCAGCAUGCCGCGGUGAAUACGUUCCCGGGCCUUGUACACACCGCCCGUCACACCAUGAGAGUUUGUAACACCCAAAGUCGGUGGGGUAACCUUUUAGGAACCAGCCGCCUAAGGUGGGACAGAUGAUUAGGGUG
rnacentral:rRNA from 1 species